rnacentral:misc_RNA from 1 species
GGGAGCCGGAUGGGCAGGAAAGCCGCUUGUCCGGUUCUGAGAGGGGGCGGGUAUCAACUGUCGUCAUGGGUGAGAUAUUGUUGCACCGCCGGGAAACCAGGCGGCAAACGGAGAAAAAAACUUUACCCUAUCGCGCUGGAAGUGCUUGUCCUACUCAAAA